AACAGCGGGAUAGUUAUGUUUUGAUUUUAUCGUAAAUAAUAGCAUAAACACGUUGGGUUCACACACUAUGAACUCAAACUACUGCUUUCCGGCGUGUUGUUGCUUCGGCCAACUCGAGUCCCAUCGCAAUAAUUUUGAGUCAAGGUGCCCGACCGCAGGACUUCGACAGUUGCCGUCAGCCAAUCUAACCACCAGAGUUCCAACCGCAAACCGAACCCACCCACACCAUCGCAAACACAACAAUGGGCUGGAGGCAGGAGUAAUGGAAGAAAUCACAUCACAUGCCUAACAAGUAGCACGACUCUGUGGCCAGGAGACGAGGAAUCCAGUUCCAGCUACUGUUCCUGUUCCAGCAAACGCCUAAAUU
ensembl:ncRNA lncRNA:CR44913 long non-coding RNA:CR44913